GCUGGAAAGAAGACAGAAAACAGCGACCCUUAAUAUCCCAGGACCCAGCACAGCGGUCCCAAGCUCCUCCUCCCUUGGGAGCAGCUUAAAGAGCACAGCAGAGAGCUCUCCUGGUGGCUGACUUCAGAAACCACCAGCAGGUCCCUGGCUCUUCCAGUUCCUUAUCAGAUAAGUCAAGAUCACCGGUUACCUCAGACACCAACAAUGCUCCUUUUGUUCAGUCCCUGCUGUCACAUGUAUGGUCACAGAAGAGGCCCUAUUUUGGGAAGAGAGACAGAACUGGUUUUCCCACGGCAACUUCAGGUGAUCUGAUGCUCUCUUCUGACAUCAGAGAGCAUCCACACAUGUGUGCACAUACUCACACAUACACAUACAUAAAUAAAAAUACUAUUUGAAAAAGAAUGAAUUCUAACCAAGGUUUCUACCACCUUGAGCAAGCCUUCUUAUCCAUGAUCUAGGUCAGUGGUUCUCAACCUUCCCAAUGCUGUGGCCUUGAAUACAGUUCCUCAUGUUGUGACUCCUCAACCAUAAAAUUAAACUACUCCUUAACUGUAAUUUUGCCAUCAUGAAUCAAAAUGUAAACAUCUGUUUUCUGAUGAUCUUAGGUGAUCCUGGGGAAGGGUCAUUUGACCCCCAAAGGGGUCAUGACCCACAAGUUGAGAACCGCUGGUCUCAGCGACUCCCGAGGGGCUCACAUUCACCUCUGUAUUCUUGGUCUUUGUUGGGCUUCCAGGGCCUUGGCUGUCAUGGCUCUUUGGCAAACAGGCUCCAGGAGUGUGGGGCUGUGUGGAUGACAUGGAAGUGUUUCUGAGUACUCCUUCCCAUCACAUCUGGCUGUGCUCUGGGGGCUGGGGUGUAACCUGAGUGCCUGUGUACUUGCUCUGGCCUUCACCCCCCAUGUACACACUUGCACACACAUGCACAAGUAUAAAGGAAAAGAGGAGCCAUACAGCAGACACUGCUGUCCUCUGGGCCCGGGCUUGUUUGCUGCAAGGUUGCUUGGAGGCAUGAAUGCUCUGACAAGCAGUUGAGGGCUAUCAUUUAGUCCAGCCUACAGGAGACUGGAACGAAACAUUGCUUGGCCAAGGAUAUCCCCAUCACCCCAAGGCCAUCUUACAACCACAGCUGCAGACUUUCUCCUUCCUCCCAUGGGUUCCGUUAUGGUGAGACCACUCCAAAUCCUAGCUGGAAUAACCGUCUUGUAGCAAGGCACCAUCUGGUGGGUCUGUGUGCCUUACAGCAGCAAGACAAGACAAGCUUUGCUGCAGCCAUUACUUCAACUGGACAGUGUUUUCUGGAACUGGCUCAGUUCCUGGCAAGGACAAGGGUUGAGUACAUACGAACACAGUUCUCUCAUUGUCUAGUUUUGUCUGUGCCUUACGCUGUCUGGGCAUUAGUCACCUUUGGGGCUUUAACACUAAGUAGUGCUCUGAGCCCAGGCUGUGUCAGUUCUGCUCUAGACAUAAGAAUUGUAUAAAACUGCAUGGCAGGAGUGUGUAGAGAGGUACCUUUGUCAUCCACUGGCCUGUAAGGCAUCCCUGACAAACUCACAGUAUGCAUCAAGACAAUAUGAGUAUAAUAAUAUGUACGAUAAAACUCACAUUACCCAUCACCUUGAACAAGUCAUUUCUAGGUCUAUUGGUGCCAUCCCAUUUUGGGGGCAGUCUUAAAUCUCCCUGAAAAAAUCACAUAAAAUAUGCUUCAAGAGCAGUCAGCAGCCUUGGGAGUUGGGUCUAGGUCAGAGCUUGUGCCAGUGGUGGCUUCUAAUAAUGUGAGGCUGUGCUGCAUGACUGUCCCCUCAAGAGAGAGAAGAGGAAGAUGGUAAUGUGCUCCGAAUCCUGGCUGUGGCUCGGUCAAGGGAAACAUGGAAAGAACUUUUACCACACAAAUUUAUUUAAAUAAAAGUGAACACAUACGCAGGCUAGUGCCCAAGGGGCAAAGGUGGGGGGUGGAGGAUGGGGGACAGACAGAAAAUGGGGGCCAGGCAGAGUCUGUGUGGUGUAACCAGGCUGCAGGAGGGAGUGGGGAGGAAGCCUCGGGGCAGUGCUGGGCUUUGGUGCUGAGGCGGGGCCUUGGGUGGGUGGAGCCAGUGCCACAAGGCCAUUUCUACCCCUCACAAUGUCCCCUCUCUCCCUGGACUCACAGCACUGCCUCCUCAGCCCCCAUCCCUGUCCUCAUACUAGCUUUCCCCUCGACUACCGAGAGAAGUCAAGAGACAACAUAAAUAAGAAUUGAUGAGUCCUGCCCCAGUCUUGGCUAGAGGUAAGGGAGCCAGGCCAGGAAGACUGCCCCGAGCCCUGCUGUCAGCCCUGGGAAAGAACAGGUAAAGUGCAAGGAGAAUCCAGUGAGUAAAAAUAUACCAAUGACUUUGUCAAAUAUACAGCUGCUGGCUGUCAGGGGGCAGGUGGCUGGCUUGUGGGUGACAGCAGCACCCUGGAAAGUGUUGGCCAACACAGCGUAGAGACAACGGAAAUAAAUAGGAGUGGGGAGUGGACGGGGUCCUGGAAGUCCCCUGGGCCAGUGCCACGUGAGGGACCCAGUCAGGGCCUUGUCCUCUCACCUGCCCAACCCCCCGGGCCCCACCUGCCGGCUCCCAGUGCUACGGCACUGAUACAAAGCACCCCGCGGGCUGACUGGCUGUAAGGAAAGGACUUAUAAUGUGGGGUGGGCAUGGGGUGGGGGCAGGGAAGCCACAGUCAGUCAGGGCUGGCGCUGCCCUCAGUACUCGUCCUGGUCUUCCUGUUGGUGUUCUUCAAUCUCAUCGUCCUCAGGGGGUGCAAAUCCCUCCUGGAGGUGGGGAGAGAGAAACAGUGAGCCAGCUGGCCAAGCUGAGGGAUCAGGUUCCACACGCGGUCUAAGUGGUCACGGGUUCAGAGGUCUAGCUGCUUUCCAGUCUUGGCAGAGCCAUGGAAGGGAGUUGAGGAGGGGCUCACCUCGGUGGCAUAGAGAAUGCCAAUGAUGCCCGAGAUGACAGGGCUAUUUUCGCUUUCAUGUUCCUGGCAGAUCAGCUCGAUGUCACGCAAUUUGCUGAAAUAGAAGUCUCUUUCUUUCUCCAGCCCAUCCACCGUCAGCUUCAAGUCCAGCAGCUGCUUGGGCAGAAAGAAAUGUUUGUGCCAGAUGUUCCUGCCUCUGGCGCUUCUGCCCGCCUUCCUCUUGCCCCAGUACCAACCACCCUUGCCCAUCCUGCUCACUUGCUGGUUGAGCUCAAGAAUCUGGGCAUCAGCCUCAUGACCACCGUUUCGGGCUGAUGGGGGAUUCUUCCGGAGGAUGCAGGGUGGAGCCACAUUGCUGAGUCGGCCAGUGGUCUGCAUGUUCUUGGGGCCUGUGGGGGACGUCCUCUGCGGAACUGUCCAGAGGACAAGAGUCAGAUGAGGGGCAGAGCGCAUGAGAGCCUGGCAUGAGGACCAUGCAGCAGCAGGCAGGCACUCUCCCUCGGGAAGAGCAUCUACAGCUAGGCCUCAAGCCUCGGCCACAUGUGACACGGCAGCCACUGCACAGCCCUUUGGCAAGCCUGGGAGUGGAAGCGCCACAGGAAGCUAAGGUCAUCUCAGUAUUGGGACCUGAAGAGAGCUGGCGCCUGAGGGAGGGAUGCAGGACCCGGGAUGGUGCAUUUGAUGAAGUGGAGCUGGGAGGGUUCAGGGCCUUCUGUACUGACAGACGAGACCCAGGAGAGCUGUUGAUGCAGUCUGUCCUAGCAGAAGCCAAAGCCACCCUCAGUGAAAAUCAGCCCCACCCCUCCAGCUGCCUGUCAGUUUGGGCUCUGUCUCCCCCUGCUGGGCUGGACCUGCAUCUGCACAGUGGUGGAGGACUCAGGCUCCUCCCUAGCACUGCCUGCAUGCUGUGGCUUCUAGCUCUUUAGAGACUGCACCUCCCUAGACAGGGGCUGCUCCUAAUGCAAAGCAAGCAUGGGCAGGCCCAGGCAGGACAGCAGCGCAAACGGAGGAGGUGGCUCUGCUAUGACGGGUCAGAUGAGGGUGGGAGCUGCUCCCCUCUUUCUUGCCACACCCUUGCUGUCACCACAGGCCUUACUGCUCCUCUCACACUGCUCCCAGCAACCCAGCAAGGUAUCAGUUCUGGAAACUUAUCUCUGGGCUAUGGGAUUCUGGAACAGGUAAAGGCAGGAUUGAGCUUGGCAAACUCCUGCUUUUGGGUAUCCAGUGGGCAGGGAUACAUACGGGGCUUGGAUACAGGCUGCAGGCGCUCAGCCUGAUGGAGCCAGAGUGGAGCCAUGCCCCAUCCAACUUGAGGCACACACGAUAGACCACAUUAUGCCACAAAGCAUCCUGGGUCUCAGCGAGCUGCCACUAUACCUGGUGCAGGUGGCUCCCCUCUUAGAACAACUUUUGCAGCCCUGUCACCCCAAAAUGGGACUCCCCACCUAGGUAAGCAGCAGGUGAUGUCAUCUGAACUCCGUGAUAACAGUCUCCUCCAGGCUGGCAGGGCUGGGCCGGUGGCCCAGGGGGCACUCCUGGCUGGAUAGCCCUGCCGGCCCAGCCCCCCAAACUCCCUCUACCAGCUUGGGCAUGUUACCUGCUGUGCCAAUGAGUUUCUUGGAUUUGUUGAAGAUCUGAUCACCUGGGUUAGGAGGUGGUGCUACGUCCUGGCCCUGCCGCGCCAGCAGAGGGUUGUAAUCCUUUCCAUCAUAGUUUGCGUCAAAGAAUUUCUUAAACCACUGAAUAAACUCAAAAUUAUCUUGGAA